GAUGAACGCUGGCGGUAUGCUUUACACAUGCAAGUCAUACGGAAGUUAGUUUCGGCUAACUUCAGUGGCGGACGGGUGAGUAACACGUGAGAAUUCGCCUUUAGGAGGGGGAUAACAGGGGGAAACACCUGCUAAAACCCCAUAUGCCUUCGGGUCAAAAGAGUAAUCUGCCUAAAGAGAAGCUCGCGGCUGAUUAGCUAGUUGGUAGGGUAAAGGCCUACCAAGGCGACGAUCAGUAGCUGGUCUGAGAGGACGAUCAGCCACACUGGAACUGAGACACGGUCCAGACUCCUACGGGAGGCAGCAGUGAGGAAUUUUCUGCAAUGGGCGAAAGCCUGACAGAGCAAUACCGCGUGAGGGAAGAAGGCUUACUGAGUUGUAAACCUCUGUUACCUAAGGAGGAAGAUCUGACGUUACUUAGGAGACGAAGCAUCGGCUAACUCCGUGCCAGCCGCCGCAGUAAUAC
rnacentral:rRNA from 1 species